CUCUAACAUUCUUUAAUUUUGCAGUGUUUCUGAAGAUAAUCUUUGAAUUUCUUCCAAUCUUCCUCCACCAAGUCUUCUCCCUGGUCACGGAUUCUGCCAGUCAUUUCCGCCAGUUCCAUAUAGUCCAUCAGUUUCAUCUGCCAUUCCUCCAGCGUGGGAAGUUCUUGUGUCUUCCAAUACUUUGCGAUGAGUAUUCUUGCUGCUGUUGUUGCAUACAUAAAGAAAGUUCUAUCCUUUUUUAACACCAUUUGGCCGACUAUGCCCAGGAGAAAGGCCUCUGGUUUCUUCAAGAAGGUAUAUUUAAAUACCUUUUUUAAUUCAUUAUAUAUCAUUUCCCAGAAAGCCUUAAUCCUUGGGCACGUCCACCAAAGGUGAAAAAAUGUACCUUCAGUUUCUUUACAUUUCCAACAUUUAUUAUCGGGCAAAUGAUAGAUUUUUGCAAGCUUGACUGGGGUUAUGUACCACCUGUAUAUCAUUUUCAUAAUAUUCUCUCUUAAGGCAUUGCAUGCCGUAAAUUUCAUACCUGUGGUCCACAACUGUUCCCAGUCAGCAAACAUAAUGUUAUGUCCAACGUCUUGUGCCCAUUUAAUCAUAGCUGAUUUUACCGUUUCACAUUAACUGUGAAAUCUAUCGCUCUUACAGAAGAUUCUUCAGUUUGGGAAAAUAUCAGUCAGUUAAAAUACAUUACAUGUGUCUUAAUUUUAACUAAACAAAGGAAAGCAGGAAGACAGCCCAGAGUCCUGGAAGAUAAGAUGGUGGAAUGAAAUAGGGCCUUCUGAGGAGGGACUGCACCGAAAACAAUUGAUGGACAACAACAAGAAGAGCACAAUUUUCAUCAUGCAUGUUAAUUUAGAUAUAGAUCUGUUAAAUAUGAUGAAAGUUGCAUGCCAGUGGCUGUCAAGAUAAGAUAAAGGAUUAAAAUCGGGAUGAUAUUGGGAAUAAAUAAAAGAGAGAAAAGUAGGAACAAGAACCAAAAAAAAUAAAUAAACCUCAUCAAUCUUUGACUUUUGUCUUCUGGGUUUCCUAGUUGUUAUUCUGUCUCUCACAGCUACAAUAAACCUACCAUUAAUAUUGUGGACUAGGCAUUUCUUCGUCAGAGGGCAAAAAACCCAAAUUUAGCGGGGGAUCAAAUACUUUCCCCCCUCACUCUAGAUGUUUAC